AUUUGCUCAAAUUCACCUGUAGAGAGACAGGGACACGAACCAGGAUCUUCACGCCAAGCUCUAAGCUGGGACCCCACCUUCAUGCAAUACCAAAGAUCUUCAGGAUAAUAGAAUGGCUCAGUCCAGCUUGGGCUGAAGAACCUGCAUCUGAGACAUGAGCCUCUGCCUCAGCUGAUUGUAGCCACCGACUUUUGUGCCUCAGUCCAUUAGAGAAAGUAAAGAGGCAGAAGCUUCAGAUGCUCAAGCUGAGGAGUGUGCACCACGAUUUCUGGUGCACAUGGGCUGAGAGACAGGAUGGAGACUGCUCAGAAGACACUGUGUGUGAAAAGUGAAGAGCAAAACACCUUUCUAGAUACACUUGAAGGUGGCAUUUGAAGGUGGACCUUUGCCUUGGGUUCAGUCUGGAUGAACACCAAACAUCACUGUUACAGUGGACCCAGGAGAGAAGAGGUUCCCUGCAGCCGUGCUGUGGGAAAAUGCAGCUUUGGGGAUUGUCUGUGUACACUGUCAAGGUCUUGAAGAUUUUCCAGCAAGAUAGUGUGAAGGAGUUGGAACUGAGAAACAGGCUGGAGUCUGUUCACACUGGCACGUUUUUCCCUUUGCCUUGGUCAGAUGAAAAAUCUUCACAAAACCUUCCUUCCUUCCUUCCUUCCUUCCUUCCUUUCUUUCUUCCCUCCUUUCUUCCCUCCUUCCUUCCUUUCUCUCCUCCCCCCUUCUCUUUCUCAUUCUUUUUUAUUUUGACACAGGGUUUCUCUGUGGCUUUGGAGCCUGUCCUGGAACUCUCUGUAGACCAGGGUGGCCUUGACCUCACAGAGAUUCUCCUGCCUCUGCCUCCUGAGUGUUGGGAUUACAGAUGUGAACCACCACUGCCCAGGUUCACAAACUCUCUGUAAUCCUUCCCCAUGAUAACCUCUUCAGUCUUGUAAAUACAGUGAACAGACAUAGAGAAGAUAGUCACCGAGUUCAUUUUUCAGUUCUCCAAACUCAGGUGUCUCCAGCAUCUCCCCAUGGUUGGUGCCUACCUUCUCAGUGACCACAUCUGUCAGUUGUUCAGUGGGUUCUAGGAAUCAAACUCAAGUCCUUCAGGCUUGUAUGGCAAGUGCUUUCAUCAACUCAGCCAACUCUCCUGACCCUUUCUUAUUUGAUCAUCAUUUUGAACAGGAGUAUUGAGAAAAAAUGCAAAAGCUGGACAAAGUGCAGCAUGAGAGGGAGAGGAAGCGAAACCAGGAGUUAAGAUCAUUAAUGGCUACCUCGUUAAGUUUGAGACCUGCCAGGGCUACAUGAGACUCUCUGGCUAAAUAAGAUAAUAUGCUAAAAUCUGUAGUGCUUGAUGUUUUGAGCUUUUAAAUUAAUAAUUAAUGAAAUUUAUAAUAAAAGUAUGCAUGAG
ensembl:lncRNA